AUUGAACGCUGGCGGAAUGCUUUACACAUGCAAGUCGAACGGCAGCACGGGGCAACCUGGUGGCGAGUGGCGAACGGGUGAGUAAUACAUCGGAACGUGCCCAAUCGUGGGGGAUAACGUAGCGAAAGUUACGCUAAUACCGCAUACGAUCUACGGAUGAAAGCGGGGGAUCGCAAGACCUCGCGCGAAUGGAGCGGCCGAUGUCAGAUUAGGUAGUUGGUGGGGUAAAGGCUCACCAAGCCAACGAUCUGUAGCUGGUCUGAGAGGACGACCAGCCACCCUGGGACUGGGACACGGCCAAGAAUCCUACGGGAGGCAGCAGUGGGGAAUUUUGGACAAUGGGCGCAAGCCUGAUCCAGCCAUUACGCGUGCAGGAUGAAGGCCUUCGGGUUGUAAACUGCUUUUGUACGGAACGAAACGGUUCUCUCUAAUACUGGGGGCUAAUGACGGUACCGUAAGAAUAAGCACCGGCUAACUACGUGCCAGCCGCCGCCGUAAAAC
rnacentral:rRNA from 1 species